rnacentral:rRNA from 1 species
AUUGAACGCUGGCGGCAUGCUUUACACAUGCAAGUCGAACGAGUGGCGGACGGGUGAGUAAUAUGUAGGAAGUUCCCAGUAGAGGGGGAUAAAUACUGGAAACGGUAGAUAAUACCGCAUACUAUCGGAUAACCCAUAUGGGAUGAGCUAGUAGGUGUGGUAAUGGCUCACCUAGGCGACGAUCCCUAGCUGGUCUGAGAGGAUGAGCGUCCAAACUGGGACUGAUACACGGCCCAGACUCCUCCGGAGGAAGCAGUGGGGAAUAUUGCACAAUGGGCGAAAGCCGGAUGCAGCCAUGCCGCGUGUAUGAAGAAGGCCCUAGGGUUGUAAAGUACUUUCAGUCGGGAGGCGUUACCGGCAGAAGAAGCACCGGCUAACUCCGUGCCAGCAGCCGCGGUAAUUC